CAAUCACUGAUUCUGAUCAGUCUCUUAAUUUCUUCCAUGAAUCAUAGUUAAAUUCAUUUCUUUGUGAAAAAGAUAAUCUACAAAUGCUAAAGGAUCUAUGUGGCAUUUAUGCUUAAUUUACAUUUUGUGGAAAUGAUGGAUGGCAAUAGAGAUCAGAUGGAGAUCAAAAUUGCACAUCACACAUUGCUGGAAGCAUUGCUUGCAUCUCUUACCACAGAAGUUACAAGAACAAGAACAGAUUUGAAAUAGAGUAACAAGGUGUAGGUGGCCCUCAUACUGAAUGGAGGGUGACAGAAAAAUGUCAUUUAUAUCAAGGAAAAAUGGGCACUUAUCACAGUGAUAUGCAAAGAAAGCAAUUUUGUGAUUGCAUGCAUUGCAAGCGACAGGUUGAGGUGGGUGAACCUUGGCGCGGAUGAAAGGGGUGCUACUGGAUUUUUUUGAGGUAAUUCAGCACAUGAUUUGUGUGAAAAAAAAAAGUUGCAUCUCUUACAACCAUAGGUGAGAUGGAAAAUGCUUUGCAGCGCCAGCAAACGUCAUCACCAUGCUUUAUUUCACAAGGCAAUAAUGGAUGUUCGUGGUUAAAAUGUUCAAUCCGCUCCUGACGUUCAGAUGCCAAUAUGUUGGGAAGUAAUGCACGUUUAACAUUCAAUGUGAAUUCAUAUUAGCUGCAGCGGAACAUAAAAGCCUGGUCAGGAUCUAUUGCAAUCAUGACAAAAGAAGUGAGAAUUUACGUACAGGGUCAGUGGGCACCAGAGAAAGAAGUGUUGAAUUUCACGUGGAAGAUCAGCACAAGUUUUUUGCAAAUGAAAUUUGCAACGGCUACACUGGUAUUUAGGACCACAGCAGAAAUAAGAAAUUUCCACAAGCCCGGGCGAUCCUUUCUAUAGUUUGCACAACUGUAAGAAAUAGAAGUAGGUGUUAGUCGCUUGAUGCCAGCCAGUCAAACCUUGAAGUAACUACAAUAGACAGACAGAUUUAUAAUAGAAUUAGAAUUUCACAUUCUCAAAGAAGAAAGGUAAUUAGUUUAUGAUAAUGGAAAUAAACGUAAGUUGAAUGACAUGGAUGCCUUUCUUAUUAGUGUUGUAUAACCGUCAACCUUCAUGAAGGUGACAUAUUUGUCCAGACAUCACCUUUUUUUAGGUCUUAAAAGUUAUUCCAAUAAAUGAAGCACACAUCCUGCAAGCUGCGAAGAGUGACUAGGGGCACCAUUGGCGUAUCUUUGACUUGUCCGGUGACCAGUUUCUUGCAACGCUUGUGCGGUCAUUGGAUAAUAAGAUAAUCUAAAGUAUUCGCUUAGCUUAUUUCAACUGCGUCUCAAGUCCUGGCAGCCAAGCUAAGAAAAGUAAUUCCCUGUGAUAAGAACAUCUCCAGUAAGAAAGGAUUUCUAGAACUUCAGUGUUAGAACAUAUAAACUUACACGUAAAGCAUGACAAGUAUACAGGGAAAACAAUGAAAGUAACAAGAGCUCUCAUCAUUUACUAAACGCCAAAAAUUUGUCGGAGAAGGUAGCAAAUUAGAUUACAAAUCCCAAAUAAAUGCAGGAAAGGCCUACAAUCAGUUACGUUACCCACCACAAAUACAGCUCAUCACAUACACAUCCUACCUGGACAAUAAAUUAUUGAUCUACAAGACUACACUCACAAUUGACAAAUGGAAAACAAUGUGGCAUGAUUCUAAAAAUCCACAAAUUUUGCAAGAUUUUGAGAACGCAAACCCAAGAAAUGGUCCUUUAAGUAACAACUAUUUUCACAGCCUUUUUCUUCAUCAAAUCAGCUCUUGAUUCCAUCUUCACGGGCGCUGGGGCAGAGAAAACUAAGCCACCAUCUUGAUACUGGCAGAACCCAUGAAUUUCAAACUCACCGCCCCCUCUUACAUUCCUUGUAGGAUUCCUCUCCCCAUCACUGCUCUGUGUAGAUGUCGCAUUCUCAUCCUCAACAACACCAUUCUCUGUAAUUUUAGAGAUCCCCUUUCUCUCUUCAAUUUCAUUGUAAUCCAUAGUCUCUCCAUGACCAUCACUGGAAUCACUCCUCUCAGCGAAGCUACCAUCUCUACUUAAAGCUGACUCAUGGUUGUCGCUGAAAACCCUAUACACAUUUCCAUUCUCAGCAAAGCUGACAGUUUUCUUCACUCUAGGUUUACCAACAUUGUUUUUUAUCAAAGCCACAUUUCUGAUUUUGGAACCGCCAUGCUUUCCAUCAGGGCAAAACUUAGGGUUUACAAAGUCAUCUUCCUCGUCAUUGAUGAAUUGCUGAAAACCUUCAAGCUCCACAUCUUCUUCAUCAUUAUCACAAACUCUAGAAAAUCCACGAAUCUUCUCAACUCUGUCACUCAAUUUCUCCACUAUUUCCUUCUGAUAUCCACUUAAAUCUCCAUAUCCAAUACUGGCAUUCGAAGCCCUAGAUUUGUAGCUGUUCCUAACAAAACUCACUUUUUUUGCAGGUUCAUAUGAAUAUCCAUGCCUUUUAGCUGCAAGCCCAUCAAUGAACUCCAAAAAUCUCACUAUGUCUCUGCUAAUUGACCUUUUUCCAUCUCUGAUCGUAGGAUCACCGCCCUGAAUAGAGUCAAGUUUCAGCAGCAAGUCCAUGGCUUUGUGGGAAAUUACCUCACAAUUGAAAUGGGUUUUACUCGAGAUAGAGGAUUUGAGAGAGUGGAAGCUGGAUUUAACAAAAGCAAGGUCCUGGAGCUGACUUAGGGUUCUUGAUCUACGAACAAGAAAGGCACGGAAAUGGGUUUGAAUAACGCGAGCGGCAGCCUCUCUAAGAGAAUACGAUGGAUGGCUAUGAUAAUUCAAAGCAGAAGAAGUAGAAAAACGGUGAAGAGAGGAUUCCAGAGUGUUGAUUCGUUGAAGAAGAGAAGAGAGAACAGACUGAGUUUGUUGGUCAUCAGCCAGCUGUUGAAAAUGAAGAUUUUGUGGCUGAACUUGUAGGUUUUGGAGAUGAUUUUUCUGGGCGCAACGUUUAUUACGGCUGGAAGGAUAAACAUACGGUAGCUGCUGAAGGAGGGAUCCAAGAGCUUGGAGAAGUGAAUCAAUUGAUAAUUGCUGUAGUGGUGGUGGUGGUGGUGCAGAAGGGUGAUCAGGUUGGAUGCAGCAAUGGUUGUAAUGGCAGCUGCAACAGCAAGUGGCAAUGGUGGUGGAGGUGGCCGUGAUAGGGGCAGGGUUUUGGCAGUGGUGGUGGCAGGAGAUGUGAGCAUGGUGAGAAGCCAUUUUGUUUGCUAGUGAAGAGAUGUGGAGAAAGUGAGGGUUUUGCGAGGGUCGUAAAGAAAGUCAAAGAAUAAAGUAACGGCUUUUAUGCGAUUGGAUAAGCAAAAAUUGUGAGUGGGACCAGUACGACCUGCCGUUUUGCUGCAAAUCCACGUGCGCUGACCCGAUUCGCCACCUGAGAUGAAGUACAUGCUUGCUAAGUCCAAAAGGAGUAUUGGCUACAGAUAAGUGAUCUUAUGAAUAUAUAUAAUAUUUAUUUUGAAUUUUCUGACAAAUUUUAUUUCUUUUGCACUGCUCAAAGGGAUGCGCCUGCACGUAGCACUAGGCUUUAGGAUCGUUUUUUGACUUGGUAUGCCUUGUUGUACUUGACAAACAUGUGUUCAGAGUGAAACAUUUUCCCCCCUAUUUUUG
rnacentral:misc_RNA from 1 species